rnacentral:misc_RNA from 1 species
CUCCCUCAGAAUCACUUUCGCUUGCAUCGAUUGUAGAAGGUACAUGGCCGAUUCCGGGCACCGAAGGGUCUUAUGCAAUUGCCGUAUAUAGCUGAGUUGCAAAAGGCUUGUUUUCCCGUACUUGGAUAACGAAAAAGGUUUCCAUCUACAUCUGAUUCUUCUUGCAUGCGUUGAGCCGUUGUGGCGUUGCACAUGCAGGAGGAAUUUGCAAUGUUGUCUUCAAGGGGGGCUGCACUAUAACCAGAUAUCACGAUCAUCAAAACAAAUAGCAGAGAUAAAGACAACCCUUUCAAUGAUUCAAUCUUCAAGUUGGUUUUCAUCUUUGCAUAUAACUGAAACUGAAACUGUAACUCUAGCUGGAAAUUUUACGAUCAUAUAAUGGUGCUCAACUUUUGACCAUAUUUAGG